UACGUAGGGGGCAAGCGUUGUCCGGAAUCAUUGGGCGUAAAGAGCGUGUAGGCGGCUCGAUAAGUCUGCUGUGAAAGUCCAGGGCUCAACCCUGGAAGGCCGGUGGAAACUGUCGGGCUAGAGUCCGGAAGAGGCGAGUGGAAUUCCCGGUGUAGCGGUGAAAUGCGUAGAGAUCAGCAGGAAUACCCGUGGCGAAGGCGGCCCCCUGGGCCGAACCUGACGCUGAGGCGCGAAGGCUAGGGGAGCGAACGGG
rnacentral:rRNA from 1 species